rnacentral:rRNA from 1 species
GCGGAAAGUUGCAUGACGUAGACCCGAAACCGGGUGACCUAUCCAUGGGCAGGUUGAAGUGGAAGUAAAAUUUCAUGGAGGACCGAACCAGACGUCUGUUGAAAAAGGCGGGGAUGACCUGUGGAUAGCGGAGAAAUUCCAAUCGAACCCGGAGAUAGCUGGUUCUCCUCGAAAUAGCUUUAGGGCUAGCCUCGCAUUAGUUUACCGGAGGUAGAGCACUGAAUGGUCUAGGGGGCCUCACCGCCUACCGAAACCUAUCAAACUGCGAAUGCCGGAUAAAUGAUGUGCGGGAGUCAGGCCGCGAGAGAUAAGUUCCGCGGUCAAAAGGGGAACACCCCAGAUCGUCUGCUAAGGUCCCCAAGUACGCGUUAAGUGGGAAAGGAUGUUGGAUUGCACAGACAACCAGGAUGUUGGCUUAGAAGCAGCCACACAUUCAAAGAGUGCGUAAUAGCUCACUGGUCGAGUGAUCCAGCGCCGAAAAUGUAACGGGGCUAAAACGCGACACCGAAGCAGCGGGAUGCGUAAGCAUCGGUAGAGGAGCAUUGUGUGAGGGUCGAAGCCAGAGCGGGAGCACUGGUGGACUUCACAGAAGAGAGAAUGCCGGUAUGAGUAGCGAGACCCAUGCGAGAAACAUGGGCGUCGAAGGCCCAAGGUUUCCUGGGGAAGGUUCAUCCACCCAGGGUAAGUCGGGACCUAAGCCGAGGACUGAGGUCGUAGGCGAUGGACAGCAGGUAGAGAUUCCUGCACCACUUACACUUGUUUGACGAAGCAGUGACACAGAAGGAUAGGACGAGCGCGGUGAUGGUCAACCGCGUAGGCGGCACGAGGCCGGGAAGCAGUGAAGUACACUUCCCGCGAAGGCUGAGUGUUGACAGGACCGAAAAGAAGUAGGGAAGCGUCCGAGUUCACGCUGGCGAGAAAAGCUGCUAAGGAGAGUGUGAGUGCCCGUACCGGAAACCGACGCAGGUGGGCGAGGAGAGAAUCCUGAGACGGACGGGAGAACUCUUGUUAAGGAACUCGGCAAAAUGACCCCGUAACUUCGGGAGAAGGGGUGCCUCGAAAGAGGCCGCAGAGAAUAGUCACAAGCGACUGUUUAGCAAAAACACAGGUAUCUGCGAAAGCGAGAGCUGACGUAUAGGUGCUGACGCCUGCCCGGUGCUGGAAGGUUAAGGGGAAGUGUUAGGGGAAACCCGAAGCAGAGAACCGAAGCCCCAGUAAACGGCGGCCGUAACUAUAACGGUCCUAAGGUAGCGAAAUUCCUUGUCGGGUAAGUUCCGACCCG